rnacentral:rRNA from 1 species
CGCGUAGGCGGACAGUUUAGUCAGAGGUGAAAGCCCAGGGCUCAACCUUGGAAAUGCCUUUGAUACUGGCUGUCUUGAGUUCGGGAGAGGUGUGUGGAACUCCGAGUGUAGAGGUGAAAUUCGUAGAUAUUCGGAAGAACACCAGUGGCGAAGGCGACACACUGGCCCGAUACUGACGCUGAGGCGCGAAAGCGUGGGGAGCAAACAGGAUUAGAUACCCUGGUAGUCCACGCUGUAAACGAUGAGUGCUAGUUGUCGGCAUGCAUGCAUGUCGGUGACGCAGCUAACGCAUUAAGCACUCCGCCUGGGGAGUACGGUCGCAAGAUUAAA